rnacentral:rRNA from 1 species
UACAGGGGGGGCAAGCGUUGUUCGGAAUUACUGGGCGUAAAGCGCACGUAGGCGGCUUUGCAAGUUAGAGGUGAAAGCCCGGGGCUCAACUCCGGAAUUGCCUUUAAAACUGCAUCGCUAGAGUUGUGGAGAGGUAAGUGGAAUUCCGAGUGUAGAGGUGAAAUUCGUAGAUAUUCGGAAGAACACCAGUGGCGAAGGCGACUUACUGGACACAUACUGACGCUGAGGUGCGAAAGCGUGGGGAGCAAACAGG